GGGGAAUCAGCCUUACGACCGUUGGCAGAGAGAUAGACUAGUUAUAAGCCUUGGUUGUUGUGUGCAAUUCAUUGCUCAUUAUGGUCUUGGCGACUGUCUUUCCUCUAAUAAGCUAAUGGUUGUUGGGUGCACUUCCCCUCGUCUUUUGGACGUCGCGACUCGCUGACGACUUGUUCUGGAAGGGACGCUGCUUAUCACAAACUGGUAAGCAGUGGUGGCUGGAGAUGUAGCACUAGUGCACUCCGAGCUGCCUUCCAGAGUCGGUGAGAAGUUGGCUCUCUACUCUGAAUUCCCGCUGUAGUUGAAGCGAGGGAUAGCUGGGCUUUGUUAGGCUGUGUUGUGCCUUCUGUCUAGUUGUUGAUUUUGUCUCUGCGACUUUGCUUUUUUUUUAAAAUCUUUUUCGACGUUCUUUAGGGAGUGUCGUUUAGGUUUUUUAAAAGGCUCGGUCGUUGGAGCAGACUGGGCAAAAAGGCGAUGUCCCGCUUUUUUUUGUAAAA
rnacentral:rRNA from 1 species